UCCACCUGUGUUGUGGCUGCUGUAAGGGGGAUGGGUUUCUUAAUAACUAUAGUAUAAUAAAGAGAUUGAUCAGCCUUCUGAGAAUCAUGGAGUCAAUGCUAAUUAUUACCCAGCUGGGGGCCUGCAGUGACAACACUACAAGAAACUCGAGGCCACUCUUGAAGUGGGAACAGCAAUUCUGAAAUGCCUUUGGGGAUCCCAAUAAAGAAUCAGUUGAACUGGCAAUUAAUUGCACAGGCAGAUGUGAUCAUCUGACUGAACAGGAAAAGGACAGUCCCAUGCUUGAAUCCACUGCUGGAAUCCACAGCUCAAGAAAGCAUUUGAUACCUUGGAAAAGGAUCUGAGAAGAGAUACAGAAACAACUUAGAAAUUGGAAAAUGUGUUUUAUCAAACACUAUUACUUCAGAGGAUGCUCUCAUGUCUAUAGUGAGUCCUACAGUCUCGUCCAUCUUACAGAGACAGAAGAAACAGCAGCUGAAAGGUAAAAUUAAAUACAUUCAAGGGAGAAAUAAGAUAUAUAUAUCUGUCAAUGAGAGUAAUUAAUGACUGGAACAAGGAAUUAACAAUUUGUGGAGACAGGAUGUUCUAAGGCAUGUUUCCCUAAGGGAUGUUCUGGUUUAAAUGACAAGUGAUAUCAGCAGUCACAAGGCUUCUGUCCCACGGUGAGUUACAUGAUUACAAUAAUCCUCUGGCUCUAUUUAUCUGUGAAAUGGCAGAAUAUGUUUGUGCUGGAUGCCCUAAUCUGGGCAGGAUAGAAAAUGAAGAUGGAAAUAUAAGUCUGGAUUUUAAGAUGAGAAACACAUCUCUUAGAAGAAAGGAUAAAAAAGGAAACUGAACAAUCCCAAUGCAGAAAAAGCUUGAAUCCCUGCCUCUAGCCAACUGUUUUGCAUAUAUAGGCAAGCAUAUGCAGAAUGUGUUUCUACAAAACACAUAUCAACAGAAAUUUAAUUUCUGCUUUUCUAUGGCUCACAAAACACAAAUUUAACUUCCCAGAUAAGCAACAGCUGGCCAAUAGUCAGCCAGGGAGUUGAUAGCUGCAUGAAAUAUGUGACAAUCCUACAUGAGGGUGGAGUUUUUAACAUGUAUGUAUACAUUGAAAAGCUCACCUAAUUCUCUUUAUUCCACUACCUUUUCCUUUUCCCUCAGAAAAACACAUCUUCUCUCUUCUCUUCUGCUAAAUACAGACAAUCCCUGCUAGAAUCUGAUUUUGUGAUUUAAAUGCUAUGGUACUCAUCAAGUGCAAUUAGCUUCUCUGUGUUGUUGUGCUGGUUUACUGUGUUGCCACUCCUGUUUGCAUGCUAAAUAUUCCACUGCACUGUGCAAUUUACCUGCCAGGAGUGAACAGCUGGAAAACUGACGAUGCUGUUUCCACUCUCCUGGUAAAGUGCAGUCUGGUCCUUGUCCACAAUCUCAAUGUUUCACCUGGAGGCACAGCCUCCAGCCCUCUCUGCACCCAGGAUCACACAGCCACUGCCAGGGAGGCGUUAGGUCAGUUCUGUCUCUUCAGUCUCUGGAGAUGAUCUAGACAUCACCCCUUGCAAAGGAGCUUGAGAUAGCUUAAAAGGAGUGCUGCUUCUUUUUCAGAGAUGAGGGGGAAGUUACAGAACUAACAGGCAGGAUCUGUCAAUCCUGCUCUUCCAGGGGUUGUAAUUGAUUGUGCCAGAUAUAAACACAAAUGGAACAGUUGCACAUUCUCCCAUUAGAAAAACAGUGUUGUAAGUUUUAGAGAUACACAUGGCUAUUUACACACUGCAAUUGUCUGCUCUGCUCUUGAGUCUCUUGACAGACUUUCACAAAGCCAUUAGGAAAUGGAGACACAACCAGCUUUCCCCACUUACACAGCCUGGUCACAGUCCCUGAAGUUGCCUCUGCUUUUGAGGACAGACAAAACUUCAUCUCUCCACAGCUUGGUUAGUACAAAAACCCCAUUUGAACAAUAAAUACAGCUGUCACUUGUUCUUAUGAUUACCAUUUUCAUUACUGUGCUUGUAGCAUGAUGAUUCUUUUGUGGGCCUUAUUUUUGUUUAAAGACUAAAAGAAAGUAUAAAACAAAACUCAGCUUACUGUUAUCAUGUAGAGAAAGGUCUAGAUAUUCUACUGAAAGUUGAUAUUAAAUUAUUAAAACAACAAAUUCAGGGAGAAAAGAGAAUAAAAUUUAACCUAGCCACUAAAGCAUGCUGAUGCUUGAAGGGCAUGUGUGCUGGCUAAUUCCCUGAUGAACCUCUCUCCUCUAGGUAGGACACUUGUAUAUCUGUCAGUCUGAAUAUUAGAAAAGUUUAAUUAACAUCUGGUUUUGCUAUUUCAAAAGUCACCCAAGAGAUAAAGUAGAUCUGCCACAGUGGUGGUGGGCAUUAAGAGAGCAAUUCAGGUUUUGCAGAUGACAAAUUGCCCUCCAGUGGUGUGCAUUUCAGCCCUCUGACAGAGAACACUUAUUCUCCUAGAUUAGGUGUCUGGAGCUCUGGGUGAUUCUGACUUUUUUCCACAUCCCAUCCAUUUGUAUGUACGUGAGCAGAUGUCUACAUCACAUAAAGUCAUGAUACAGAUUUGUCUGAUUCACAGCCCCCAAACAAAUUCCUUUGCCUUUCUCCACUUGAUGAGAGCUUGAGACAUCAAAGUGUUUCAGGACAGCUGAUCACAUCGCUUUGGAGUCCCUGAUCCACUGGAGAUGCAGCUUCUCUGCAUCUUUUUGGGAUUUGCAGAUUUUAUGGUGGCAUAAGUGGUACAAUUUAAUAGUUUACUGAUUUCAGAAAGCGUCCCAAAGGAAAGGAAUUUAUUUGUUCACCUAAAAUACCUCCCUGCACAGGCAGUUCCAGACAAGGAACUAAAAUACACUGUGACAAAUACCAGUGUAACAUGUCCUAGCAACAAGCUGGUUUACAAUUAAUGCAUAAUUUUGUAUUUUCAUGUUAUAUAAUAAGAAGUUUGAUAUGAAUGUUGUCAGUUAUUUCUACACUACACUAUUUAGGCCAGUUGCUGCCAUGUCCCAAGAAAAAAGAUGCAUUUUAUUUUUCCUUGAAGAACUUUGGAGAACACAAUGUUACAAACUUGAGUAACUGAGAACACAAGAGCAGAUUUUUUGUUUUUCAUUACUAAGCUUGCAUAUGUGGCAAGCAUAUAGGAAAGCAGUUAAAUUACUUUUUUUUAAAAUAGUCUUUCCUUCUUCCUGUGGUUUUCUUUCAGCGUUUUUCUUUCAGCUAACACAUAGAAUCUAACUUGAUAUUCUAAGACCAAUUGAUUUUUAAAAUUUGGUUAAAGUUUCCAAACCUUUGAGACUUAACAUAUGCUAAAGAAGCAAAGGAAGUAAUGAUGCAAAUAUUGAGAUGCAUCACUACUUCCAUCAUUUCUUCCAUGCUUUUUAGGUUAUUUCACUGUCUCAGCCACUGACUACACGUAAUGACCUCAAGUCCAUUGUGCUGUAUUGGAGGUUCAUUCAUACAAGAAACCUUAACCUGCUACCACUGACUACAUCCUUGACAUGUCUUUAUCUUAAAAAAAAAAAAAAAGAAGAAAGAGAAAAGGAUGAAAGGAUGGUAUCUAACAGUGCAGC